rnacentral:rRNA from 1 species
CCGUACACAAAAGCGCAUGUGCUGUGAGCUCGAUGAGUAGGGCGGGACACGUGGUAUCCUGUCUGAAUAUGGGGGGACCAUCCUCCAAGGCUAAAUACUCCUGACUGACCGAUAGUGAACCAGUACCGUGAGGGAAAGGCGAAAAGAACCCCGGCGAGGGGAGUGAAAAAGAACCUGAAACCGUGUACGUACAAGCAGUGGGAGCACAGGUUUACCUGUGUGACUGCGUACCUUUUGUAUAAUGGGUCAGCGACUUAUAUUCUGUAGCAAGGUUAACCGUAUAGGGGAGCCGGAGGGAAACCGAGUCUUAAUUGGGCGUUAAGUUGCAGGGUAUAGACCCGAAACCCGGUGAUCUAGCCAUGGGCAGGUUGAAGGUUGGGUAACACUAACUGGAGGACCGAACCGACUAAUGUUGAAAAAUUAGCGGAUGACCUGUGGCUGGGGGUGAAAGGCCAAUCAAACCGGGAGAUAGCUGGUUCUCCCCGAAAGCUAUUUAGGUAGCGCCUCGUGAAUUCAUCUCCGGGGGUAGAGCACUGUUUCGGCUAGGGGGCCAUCCCGGCUUACCAACCCGAUGCAAACUGCGAAUACCGGAGAAUGUUAUCACGGGAGACACACGGCGGGUGCUAACGUCCGUCGUGAAGAGGGAAACAACCCAGACCGCCAGCUAAGGUCCCAAAGUCAUGGUUAAGUGGGAAACGAUGUGGGAAGGCCCAGACAGCCAGGAUGUUGGCUUAGAAGCAGCCAUCAUUUAAAGAAAGCGUAAUAGCUCACUGGUCGAGUCGGCCUGCGCGGAAGAUGUAACGGGGCUAAACCAUGCACCGAAGCUGCGGCAGCGAACGUAUCACCCAAGACAACUUUACGGAGUUGACGAUUGACGGAGCGAAGCGACGUCAAAGCGUUCAUUAAAGUCGAGUUGGCUUAGGGAUACGUUCGUUGGGUAGGGGAGCGUUCUGUAAGCCUGUGAAGGUGUGUCGUGAGGCAUGCUGGAGGUAUCAGAAGUGCGAAUGCUGACAUAAGUAACGAUAAAGCGGGUGAAAAGCCCGCUCGCCGGAAGACCAAGGGUUCCUGUCCAACGUUAAUCGGGGCAGGGUGAGUCGACCCCUAAGGCGAGGCCGAAAGGCGUAGUCGAUGGGAAACGGGUUAAUAUUCCCGUACUUGGUGUUACUGCGAAGGGGGGACGGAGAAGGCUAUGUUGGCCGGGCGACGGUUGUCCCGGUUUAAGCGUGUAGGUGUGUGUUCCAGGUAAAUCCGGUUCACUUUAACACUGAGGCGUGACGACGAGGCACUACGGUGCUGAAGCAACAAAUGCCCUGCUUCCAGGAAAAGCCUCUAAGCAUCAGGUAACAUCAAAUCG